GUCCCACCUGCCCAGUGAAAACUUUUAAACGGCCGCGGUAUUCUAACCGUGCAAAGGUAGCGCAAUCACUUGCCCCUUAAUUAGGGGCUAGUAUGAACGGUUACAUGAGGGCUCAACUGUCUCCUAAGACUGAUCAAUGAACUUGAUAACUCAGUACAAAAGCUGAAAUAAAAACACAAGACGAGAAGACCCUGUGGAACUUAAAGUCCUCGCAAGCAGCCCAUGGCCCUACAGCCACCUCACCUUGCAGACACUUUCAGUUGGGGCAACUACGGAGUAAAACAAAACCUCCACGACCGCAGCUGACACCUGCUGCCCAAGGCCUACACGCCUACUGCCUAAUAGUAGACCCAGCAAAGCUGAUCUACGAACCAAGCUACCCCAGGGAUAACAGCGCUAUCCCCUUCAAGAGUCCAUAUCAUCAAGGGGGUUUACGACCUCGAUGUUGGAUCAGGACCCCCCGGCGGUGCAGCCGCUGCCAAAGGUUCGUUUGUUCAACGAAUAAUGUCCU
rnacentral:rRNA from 1 species